rnacentral:rRNA from 1 species
UACGGGGGGGGCAAGCGUUGUUCGGAAUUACUGGGCGUAAAGCGUGCGCAGGCGGCGCGUUAAGACAGGUGUGAAAGCCCCGAGCUUAACUUGGGAAUUGCGCUUGUGACUGGCGUGCUGGAGUGUGGCAGAGGGAGGUGGAGUUCCACGUGUAGCAGUGAAAUGCGUAGAGAUGUGGAGGAACACCGAUGGCGAAGGCAGCCUCCUGGGCCAGCACUGACGCUCAUGCACGAAAGCGUGGGGAGCAAACAGG